GUGGGUAUGGCUAAUGGUAGAGCCCCCUGCUUAGCAUGCAGUGUGUCCUGGGUUCAAUCCCCAGUACCUCUA
rnacentral:tRNA from 1 species